AAAUGGCAUGCGGAAACCCCUGGUAAAACCUGUUUUUCUACAAAAAAAAUAAAAUAAUAAUAAUAAUAAAAUAAAUGGACCGGUACAGCCAGGUGCUCAAAAUAGAAUAUAGAUUGAUUUUGUAUUAUGUUUAUUUGCCUUGCAUUUUGUGAUGACUCACUACAAUCCUAAAAAUAAAAGUUCCAAUUGAAGCAAAAAGUGUUUAAAGACUUGUAUGACUCUGAGUUUUUAUUCUCAAGUUCUUUUGAAAAACAACUAAGUAUCCUGAGCUGAAGAACCUACAGAAUUGUCUUGAUAGGGAGAGAGCUCUGCUGAAUGAUUUGUGAUGCUUGAAGUAUAAUGUUGUGCGUUAGUCUUUUUGAUCACAUGAAUGUAAGAGUACAGAAAUGACACUUCACAUGUUACCUCUGAUGAAUCCGCAUCAGUGUGAGUUUCCAGCUGUCACUGUGUGUGGAAAGCUCAUGAUUGUCUGGCAUUGUCGCUUUGGGGUUUGACACGCUGUUAAACCUGUACAUCUGGUUCUGUUCACGUGAUUUUCUCUCAGCUUCUUAUAAAUCACAGAACUUCACAGAGACAAACACACAUAAGAGGAACACUUAAAGAAACACUCAUGUUGUACAUUCUGGGGAUUGUUUUGGGGCUAAUUGGCAUCAUCCAGUGCAUGUCAUAUGGUCUGAGUCAGAUACAUGUUGAGAAUGCCUUCCAAGAAAAAAAUAUGCUUUACAUAAACAAGUGGAGAAUGAAUGAUCAGGAGCUUCACCUCAUCAUUAGACUCCUGUCUGUUGGGCUGGUGGAUGCAGAUCCAAACACUCUGCACCAUAUAAAAGAAUACAGAGAUCUGAGAGGAAGUUCAACCUGAGAGGGAAGAGUCAUUCAGACGAUUAUAUGAGUCUCCCUUUCCGAUCAUUAACCCUGAUAAAGGAAACCUGACAGGUUCUCUUUUACUUGUGUUACUGGUUAUUCAAGGAAACAUGUAACAUGGCAAAGAUUGUUGCCCUCCCAAACCUUUAAAAGACUGUGAAGCACUUUUUCCUGAAAUGAUGUCCCAAACAUCUGGAUCAUCUGUUCUGACAGACUCCGGUCAAAUGGACAGAGAAGAAAUGAUAUGAUACUAACACUGAUUCCCAUGAAGAAGAACAAACAUUCUUGAGGGUAGACAAUUGCUACACUGUGAAUUAUCAUCAUAUGUUUCUAACAUUUGAAUCAGCAUGCAUUAAACAUAGUCCUACAUGCAAAAUGUACAGAAAAUAUUUGGCAUUGUUCACCCAAAAUUUAAAGUUUCCAAAGACAGACCUGAAAUGAACUGAAGCAAUUCCGGUUUUAAAACUAUAAUGUAUAAAUAGUUUAACAGAGUCAUGUUGAGCUUCAUACAAAUUCAUAAAACAGCUAUUUAUUAUCACUUAUGCAGUUUUUGAUUUUGUUAAAUAACUUGUUCAAUAAAUGUUGGAGGACACUAGUUUUAUUAUCA
ensembl:lncRNA